CCUCUUUUUUGAUUGUGGAAAUAUGGUAACCCUACAUUAACAUAGAUUUUUGCACUGAAUAUAUUUUGGCCUGUAUUUCUUUGCUGAAAUACCACAGCAGUGGCUGCUGAAUCUCACUGAGCUCUUCCCUGGGUUUGCUGCAGAUUAAUGAGCAGAUGGAGAGGAAAGGAAAAGGCAGCCAUGCAGGUCCUAUGACAAUAAAAAUGAUAUUACCUGGAAAUGAGGAAAUCUGCCACUUUCUUUGGGGAAAUCCAGUAUUUUCAAUUUUAGCUCUCCACCUCCAAAAUAGAAAACAGUGUUCUGAAGAUCACUACUAAAAAUAUGCUGAAAGACAAUGUAUUGCAAUACAAGCCAGCAGCAGAAGGUGCAACAUAUGCUGCAACAACUGCAGAAUGCCAGUGAUCUGAACUGUACAGUGGACUCUCUUCAAAACACAAGAUUUGCAAUAAUCACUGUCCUGCACUAGCACCUUUCCUAAGUACAGAAUGGCACCCUGGUAACUGUAUGUAUAUGGGGUAGUGAAUAUUGAAAUGCUUAUGACACCACUGUGUAAGGGUUAUAUGAAACAUAUGCCUUGAAUGAUUAAUAGCUACUGAUUCCUACUGACCCAGGUAAAAUUAAAAAAAGCUAUUCACCUCUGUUUAUCCCGAAAUAGGAGCCACCUAAGAAGUAAAGACAAUAACAAAAUGGUUCACAUGAGAAACUUUUAGGAACUACAGAUCUCCCAAGGUUGGGAGUUCCUCUCCCCAAGAAUAGAAACUAUGGAAACUAAAAUGGCUAAUUUUGGGGGGGGGAGGGGGUAUAGCUCAGUGCUUUGAGCAUUGGCCUGCUAAACCCAGGAUUGUGAGUUCAAUCCUUGAGGGGGCCACUUAGGGAUCUGGGGCAAAAUCAGUACUUGGUCCUGCUAGUGAAGGCAGGGGGCUGGACUCAAUGACCUUUCAAGGUCCCUUCCAGUUCUAGGAGAUAGGAUAUCUCUAUUUAUUUAUUUAAAUGAGUGUACUGUUAAUCACCUAGGCAAGAAUCUCUCAUAAUUUGCAUAUGGAUUAAACCUCUUUCUCCCUCCCAACCUCGCUAAAAAAGAACCCCAAGUUCCCAAGCAAGGGUCACAGACUGCUUUCUUAUGCAAAGUGUUUUCACCCUCAAAGUAUAAACUGUAUAUUAUGUUCCUGUAAAUCAAAUAUACACUGAAUAAUCUUUCACCCUAACUUAGAGUCUACACAUUUGUUGGCCUUGGCAGUAAGAUCUACAUACUUCUAUAUGUGAAAAAAAACUCUCUUGUUCUAUUGUAAGUCCUAAAUAAGGUGAAAUGCUUAUGUACACAAAGAAUAUGUCCUCCACAUUUAGAAGAUUCUAAGGAUUUUGUUGGUUUUCAUUGUAAAUAAUUGUUGCACUCUAGAAGUAACAGGAAUUAUCUGACACAAGGAAGAAGAAAUGUUAAAAGAUAUAAACCAGGGUAUAACUUUGGGAUAUCAAGAGAAAUGGUUUAAAAUGGGGGAUCACACUUGAUAGUAGGGGCAAAUAAUGAAAUAUAGUCUUUGAAACAAAUCAAGACUAAAAAGCCUCUGAUAAUAAAAGAAUUGAAGAAAUUUGUUAUACA
ensembl:lncRNA